ensembl:lncRNA
GUCCACGGUGGACCGGUCUCUGGUGGAUCUGGGUCUGUCCACGGUGGACCGGUCUCUGGAGGAUCUGGGUCUGUCCACGGUGGACCGGUCUCUGGUGGAUCUGGGUCUGUCCAUGGUGGACCGGUCUCUUUAGGAUCUGUGUCUGUCCACGGUGGACCGGUCUCUGGAGGAUCUGGGUCUGUCCACGGUGGACCGGUCUCUGGUGGAUCUGGGUCUGUCCACGGUGGACUGGUCUCUGGAGGAUCGGCAUCUGAUUUUCUGGUUAUUUCAAUGAAUAAACAACGUAAACACAACAUUUGAUUUAAUCGUGUAAAGUAAAUCAACAUUCUGCUUUAUUGAGAAAUGAAUCAUCUUUUGGUCGUAAUCACUCAGACGACAUCGUGGUACAAUAAGACCUCAACAGAGGAUCCUCUGACACACAAUCACAGUCCUCCGUAUUGAGGUCAGUCACUCUGCGUUGUGUCUCCAGCCUGCAGAGACUCGUCCUUCCACUUCAGUGCCUCCUCUUCCUCCUCUUCCUCCUCCUCCACGGGGACAAAGAUGGCUGUCAGUUAAUCAACGUCGCUGUCACACAAUGAAUGAAACCUGCUGGUGUGGAUCCACUUUGUUUGUGUGUUUAUCAAACCUGCUGUCAAAACAUAAACACAACCCAGUUUGUUUGUCCAGUUAAACAUUUAUUAAUUUACCUCCUCCAGGACAAUUCUAUAAUAACAAUAAUAAUAAUCAAGAAUAAUAUACAAUUAUAAUAAUAAUUGUAUACAUAAAUAUCUAUGUAUUUUGUCAUUAUAUAUAAUACACAUAUAUGUAUAUUUAUCUAUUAUAUUUCAUAUAUAGUAUAACUAAUUUUGUAUAUGAUAUAAAUAUAUGUAUAUAAUAGUAAAUGCAUAAUAGUAAAUAUGACCAAUAAAUAUAGAUAUUUAUAUAUUCACAACUAACUGAAGGGUACAUCUUACAAUAUUAGUUACUUACUCAAGAAUCAUAGAUAUAGGUAUUUAUAUACAAUAUGAUAUCCAUAUAAUACAGCAUACAAGCAAAAGGGUCAACGGUCGCAUCCGCCCUGAAUACAGAAGAAACGUCCCUGUUAGCGACUCUUCUGUAGCGUCGCCUCCAGCGCGUCGUUGUCCUGCCUGACUGGAGGAAAUACAGGCUGAAAAAUGGCAGAAUUCCUCUUUAAUCCACAGCAGGGUGGAAUUAAGGGGGGGGGGGGUGAAUUCCUUUAAACGCGAGUCAGGACAAGAACCACACUUCAGAUGCCUGUGUGUGUGUGUGUGUGUGUGUGUGUGUGUGUGUGUGUGUGUGUGUGUGUGUUCUCCAGGUCAACACUUCUGCAGUGGAAGUUUGUAUUCUUUUAUAUAUUUCUCGUCAUGAAGGUCUGUAAGUUUAAUAGAUACAAUUAAAUACAUUAUCUUAAUGUGAUGCGUGUUUCUUCUUCUUUUACUUCUAAAUGUGUAUAAUAGCUCUUUCGAUGCCACAAUACAAACUAUUCAAGCACCGUUAAUAGAAUAUUUCAGAUAUAAUCAUCAGAAGCAAAUAGUUGAAUCAAAGUUAAACAUUAUUCAUUCAUCACUAAUGUAAAGUGCUUAAUGAUUCAGAUGUAUAAAAACACUGGACUUAUCCCCCUCUCUCAAUGCUAAGCUAACUAGCUGCUGGCUAGUUGUGUGUCGUCCGCCUUCAAAAAGGAAGCUAAUAUUUCCCUCAUUGUCACAAUGUA